rnacentral:tRNA from 1 species
GCCUGGAUAGCUCAGUCGGUUAGAGCACGUCCUUGGUAAGGACGAGGUCGCCGGUUCGACUCCGGCUCCAGGCU